rnacentral:rRNA from 1 species
GACGAACGCUGGCGGCGUGCCUAAUACAUGCAAGUAGAACGCACAGUUUAUACCGUAGCUUGCUACACCAUAGACUGUGAGUUGCGAACGGGUGAGUAACGCGUAGGUAACCUGCCUGGUAGCGGGGGAUAACUAUUGGAAACGAUAGCUAAUACCGCAUAAUAUUAAUUAUUGCAUGAUAAUUAAUUGAAAGGUGCAAUUGCACCACUACCAGAUGGACCUGCGUUGUAUUAGCUAGUAGGUGAGGUAACGGCUCACCUAGGCGACGAUACAUAGCCGACCUGAGAGGGUGAUCGGCCACACUGGGACGGAGACACGGCCCAGACGCCUACGGGAGGCAGCAGUAGGGAAUCUUCGGAAAUGGACGAAAGUCUGACCGAGCAACGCCGCGUGAGUGAAGAAGGUUUUCGGAUCGUAAAGCUCGGUUGUGAGAGAAGAACGGGUGUGAGAGUGGAAAGUUCACACUGUGACGGUAUCUUACCAGAAAGGGACGGCUAACUACGUG